UAGGGAAUCUUCGGCAAUGGGGGCAACCCUGACCGAGCAACGCCGCGUGAGUGAAGAAGGUUUUCGGAUCGUAAAGCUCUGUUGUAAGUCAAGAACGAGUGUGAGAGUGGAAAGUUCACACUGUGACGGUAGCUUACCAGAAAGGGACGGCUAACUACGUGCCAGCAGCCGCGGUAAUACGUAGGUCCCGAGCGUUGUCCGGAUUUAUCGGGCGCAAAGCGAGCGCAGGCGGUUUGAUAAGUCUGAAGUUAAAGGCUGUGGCUCAACCAUAGUUCGCUUUGGAAACUGUCAAACUUGAGUGCAGAAGGGGAGAGUGGAAUUCCAUGUGUAGCGGUGAAAUGCGUAGAUAUAUGGAGGAACACCGGUGGCGAAAGCGGCUCUCUGGUCUGUAACUGACGCUGAGGCUCGAAAGCGUGGGGAGCGAACAGGAUUAGAUACCCUGGUAGUCCACGCCGUAAACGAUGAGUGCUAGGUGUUGGAUCCUUUCCGGGAUUCAGUGCCGCAGCUAACGCAUUAAGCACUCCGCCUGGGGAGUACGACCGCAAGGUUG
rnacentral:rRNA from 1 species